CCCACCAUGGAUCCCUCAGUCCUGCUGGCCUUUCCCUUGCUCCUGGCUCUGUCCACACCUUGCAGUGCUUGUCAAUGUAAACUUCAGCACCCUCAGGAAUAUUACUGCACGUCAGACAUUGAUCCUCAAGAGGCCCAGGAAACUCCCAAGACUCAAUAAUAUCUAUACCCCUCUUCGUUCAGAUGACUGUGGAUAUCAGGAAACAUUGUUUAACCGCAUACAGUACCUUGUUGCAGGCUUUGUGAGGGCCGAAAAAAUGAUCUUCACAAGGUGCCAUAUAAUGUAUUACAUGGUCAGGCUCACCACAGAGCAUACAGUAGGUUUCCUGGGAGCAUACAAAAGAGGCUGCAAAUGUCACGUUCAACCCUGCUUCCUCUACUCACUUGGCUGCCCGGAAGCUGAUCUCACAGACUGUGUGUGGGAACAAAGAAAUUGUCAAUAUAACGUUUGGAGCGAAAACCACUCCUUAAACUCCAUGUGUGUCCCCUCCACAGAUGGUCACUGUGAGUGGACUGGAGUCCAAGCCUGAGCUCCAGCAACUGUUCCAAGCAUGACUCCUCAGGUUCUGCCCUAGGGUUUUAAUAUUCUAUUGCUGGAUCUGGCCAAUGAAAACAGAACUGAGUUGUACACCUAAGUUUUGCUUACUUUCUGCAAGCAGUGUAUGCAUCCAUAAAAUCUACAAAAAAAUAAAUCCCAGACUGAGACUGUGA